UUAGCCAGGCUGGUCUCAAACUCCUGACCUCAAGUGCUCUGCCCACCUCAGCCUCCAAAAGUGCUCAGAUUACAGACGUGGGUCACUGUGCCGGCCUGUAUUAAUAGUAAGUUUUGAAAUCAGCAAGUAGAUGUCUACAAUGCCAACCUUUUUCCUCUUACUCAAGAUUAUUUAGGCUGCUCUGGAUCUAUUGCAUUGCAUAUGAACUUUAGAAUAACCUUGUUAAUUUUGAGGAAGGAAAUAUCACCUGGGAUUUUGGUAGAGGUUGCAUUAAAUCUAUAGAUCUAUUUGGAAAAUAUUGCCAUCAUAACAGUACUAACCCUUCUAAGCAAUAAACAUUAAAAUAUUUUCUAUUUAAUUUUGUUCAAUAUGUUUUCUGUAGUUUUUGUGUACAUAUCUUACAUUUAAUUUGAUAAACAUGCCUAUUUUCAAUGCCAUCUUAAGUGGAACGGUUUUCUGAGUUUUGUUUUUAGAUUGUUAAUCGCUAGUGUAUAGAAAUUCAAAUGAUUUUAUAUGUUGACCCUAUAUACUGCAAGUUUGUUACUCAUGUUUAAGUUUUAAAUAUAUUUUAUUAGAGUCCUUUGGAUUUUUUUAUACAUAAGAUUAUGUCAUUUGCAAACAGAGUUUGACUUCCCUUAUCUGCCUUAUUUGCUGCAUGUUUUUAUCAUAGUGAGUUCAGGAAUUCUCAGGUGUUUCUGCAUGUUUUGAGUUGCUUAUAUGGUUUUGUUUUUUAUUAUAUUAAUAUAGUGCAUGGCAUUAAUUGUCCUUGAACAUGGUACCAAAUGUUGCUUUCCUGAGGUAAAUACCCUUGACAUAUUUUAUAAUACUUUUUACAUGUUGUUGAUUUGUUUCGCUAGGAUUUCUUUGAUGAUUUUUGGGUCUAUAUUCAUAAGGUGUGUUAUUCUUAAUUUUCAUUUUUUGCAAUCUGUUUGUCUAGUUGUGGUAUCAGGGUAAACUAACUCAUAGUAUAAAUGAAAUGCGAUGCCUUCUCCACUUUGUUGUUGUUGUUUUUAAGAAUUUAUUAUAAAUUAAUAUUAAUUGUUUAAGUGAUUCCAAUAACUCACUAAUGAAUUAUCUUGACUGGGGCAAGGAAGUGAAUCCUAAGAAGAAUCACGUGAGCUUGGAAGGAGACCUUUCCCCAACUGAGCCUCAGCCUGGGCCAUCAUCUACAUCUGGACUGAAGACCCAGAGAAACUACUCCCGUCAGGAAUUGUUUGGGAUCAUGCGUUCUGUGGACACUCACAUCCGGGAAUUAUAAUGCCAGUUGGCAUUCCUAAAGCUUCCACGCUAGCAGGUUUGGAGUAAUUCACCAGUGAAGUCUUCUUAACCUGGGCAAUCAUAUGAACUUGGAAGAUGAUCCGUCCCCAUCUCAUCUUUCAGUUGAAACCUCAGCCUUGGCCAUCACCUACAUCUGGAUUUCUGACUCAGAGAAACUACUGGCCGCCUGACGUGAAUGAAAAAAUUCCAACCCCUCCGUAUGUGGGAGGCAAAGGGACAGUACUCUCACAUGGUUACAAAGUCAAGUUCUCAAGGACAGAAAACAAGAGAAGAGGAAAAUGUCACUUUUUUUU